GUGGCUCAGUGGUAAAGCACUUGCCUUGCAUGCAUGAGGUCCUGGGUUCGAUUCCCCAAC
rnacentral:tRNA from 1 species